CACCCCUGCGAAAUUCACUUUCCCCCCAAAUCACUCUUUUCACUCUCAUUCAUCCCCAAUUUCAACUCUCCCAUGGCGCCCUAAUUCUCUGUCAAAACUGAGUGAAGGUGCGACGGUGGUGAAAUUAGACAACCAAAUUCAUUUUGUUUAUCAGCUCAUUUAAGCAAACGGCCAAGUCUCGCGUAAUUACUGACCCUCAAGUUGUGUCGGCCGAAGUGAACCAUUUCCGCUGAAAGGAACGACAGCUUCACUAAGGCGGCAGAGGACAAGGUGCGCUAACCUCGACUUCGUUUGUGCUUCCCUCAACAUCUCAUGUGAAGAAAGAAAAUAAAAAGGAUGGCACCGCGUUCUAAGAAUGACUCCUGGUUGUGGAUGAGGUUGGAAGAUAUAAUGCUACUUUACCGCGUUGAGUCGUCUACACUUGUCCACCGAUACAUAAGUGCGCGCAGCACUACGAAAAAAAGGAAAAUUCUGGACCAAGCUAGAACAUACAACUUACUCAAUAAAAUCCCAACACAGUUAGAGCGCCUGAAUCGUCUAAUUAAUGUGACUGAUGCUGAUUGUAUUGCAAAUCUGCGCAUGGAUCGUAACACCUUUGGUAGGUUGUGUUGCAUUCUUUCAUAACGGGGUGGUCUUUGGACAGGUAAAAGCCUUGCAGUUGAAGAGCAGAAAGCAAUAUUUCUAUCUGUACUUGCGCACCACGAUAAAAACUGCGUAGUAAAGUUUAAUUUCAUGCGGUCGAGUGGCACCGUGUCCUACUACAUGCAUAAAGUCCUUGGCGCGGUUCUAUGUCUGCACUCUGUCCUCCUUUCAAAGCCUAUACCUGUCCCCGAUGAUUGCAUUGACCACAGAUGGUGAUGGUUUAAGGGAUGUCUCGGGGCUUUGGAUGGAACUCACAUCAAUGUGUUAGUGAGUACUACAGAUAAGCCUCGUUAUCGAUCACGGAAGGGGCAGAUAGCUACAAAUGUCCUCGCUGUAUGCGACCGUAACAUGCAGUUCGUGUAUUUCCUACCCGGCUGGGAAGGCUCCGCUGGUGACGUGUACUAAAGGACGCAGUAUCUCAGGACAAUGGUUUGAAAGUCCCACAAGGUUGUUAUUAUCUUUGCGAUAAUGGCUAUGCUAAUAGCAAUGGCUUCUUGAUGCCGUACAAAGGAGUUCGGUAUCAUCUGAAGGAAUGGGGUCCGGGUAUGGAGAUGCCACAAAACUCAAAAGAGAUAUUCAAUAUGCGGCAUAUGAAAGCGCGAAACGUCAUUGAGCGGGCGUUUGCAGUACUAAAAUGCGAUGGGGGAUACUAAGAAGCGCGUCUUUUUACCCCAUUGAAACGCAGAUCCGUCUGAUUAUGUCAUGUUUUUUACUCCACAAUUUCAUUCGACGAGAAAUGGAAAUAGAUCCCGUUCAAGUGGAACUUGAGGCCAGCGUGACGAACAUAACCACUAGUGAAGACAACAUUGGCAUCGAUUAUGUUGAUUGUAUUGAGCCGACUGCAGAGUGGACUCAGACUCGGGAUGCCAUAGCCAUGAAUAUGUGGAACCAUAGACAAAACUACUAAUUUAGCUCUUGUUAGCAUUAACUACCUACUUUGUUUUCUUUUAAGUUUAUGGAGUAGACCACUUUCCUUUUUUAAUUUCACGGACCUAUUUAGGUAAUCCAUUUAUAUA